rnacentral:lncRNA from 1 species
UGACAACCUUCUGUGGUAAGGGGUGAACAUCCUUGGGAAGCCACAGAGAGCAAGGCGCAGUUUUUCAUUGAUCACCACUUUCAAGAUGCUCCCAGAAUCGUGCUGUCUAGGAAGCCAUUUAAACUGGUGAGAAGCCAUCCUCUCUUGAAUGGGGGCUCCCACUGUACAUCUGGCACCCACUUCACAGAUUCUGGGGGAUGUCAACACCAGCACUGCUGAGCUGUGUGACCUUGAGCAAGACAGUUAGCCUCUCUGAACCUCAGUGUCCUUCUCUGUAGGCUGGAGAUUGAUAUACCUUCAUUAUCGGGGUAUGAGAGUGUUAUAAGGUGGGAUGGUGGAACACGCUGACUGGUCUGGGCUAUUCAAGAUCCAUGAACUGGAAGAUGCUUUCUUAUAACUCAGAGAAAAGAGAUGAAAAUGAAUCAAAGAACAGGAAGGAGACAAGCUCAGGAGAGUCACCCUAAGAAGGAUGUGUGGAAGACUUGACUGGAGGAUCAAAAUGUGUCGGGGGAAGGUGUACAAGGAGGAGUAAGGACACAGAUGUCCUGACUUCACACAGUGGGGGAUUAGAAGCCACCAUCAAACACAGAUGAAACAGGAAUAAAAGUAGUAGUACAUUACUUAAGCUUUAAAAGGGUAAGACUCCUGGGAAUUUGGAAGCUGAGACUUGAGGCAAGUAUUUAGGAUUUGCUGUCUCACCUCCCUGCUAUGACAGUCCUUAAUUAAUGGAGAUGAUGGAGAACAGCUUGCUGGGCUGAGUGGCAGGAGCCAUGCAGCUGCUGGGGCUGGAGUGGGUCAGGAAGCUUCAUCAAUCUGGGACACAUGACGUGCUUGGUGGUGGCGGAGCCUGACGCAUCCCUCUUCAUCGACAUUGUGUCAAUAGGAGCAGAGGCAUUUAGCUGUGUAAACACAGAGCUUCAGUGGCAGCACCCUAAAUGCUUAGCUGAUAGAUCCGGAAUUAAAUACAGACCUAGAAACUGGAGUUGGAAAACUUCCUGGCAGCACUCCUUCCCUGCCAUCCCGGUGAUCCCCUUCUGGAUGGAGGGUGUGGAGCUCAGCACAUUCACGUCUGCAGUUCUCAGAGAACCAAGUGUUAAGGAAUGUCAGGGAAGGAAGAAGGCAGCCAGCCAGGAAGGGGAGGUCCUGGCCUGAGCACGCCAGGCACAGAGGGAUAGAGGGUAGGGAGGAAACUGCACCUGUCUCCAACCCUCGACCCCAGCCCCGAAACACGACAUUGGCUGAAACAGAUUAAAAGCAUAAAAUGGCCCAAAGAAAUGGGAGAAGGUUGGCCUCUGGUCGGGCAAACAUGAGGGCAUGAAGAUAUAUAAUGUCCCACACGGGAGGAAACCCUUGCCGGGCCCCUCAGGAUUUAUAACAAGCUCACCUGAAGGAGAAACUUCAGGGGCACUUACACCAUCAGAUACCUAGAAAGGAGCUGUCAUUUCCUCACUGAAGAGUUUGCAAGCAGAUGGUAAAAGGGGUUUAAUUUGAAAACACUGAAACAUCGUGUUCGCUCAAAACCAUGACAAUUGCAGUUUUAUUGUCUCCACUCAGGAAAAUGUGUGUCUGGAUCAUCUUGUGGCCCGAAUGGGGAGAAAAGCAGCACAAGAAUGGAAUAGUACAGUGGCUACGAACACAGAAACCACACUCCAGGCCCAGUCCCCGGCAGUGGCCUCCAGGACCCACUCUGAGCUAGAUCACAUCAGUGAUGGGCUGGCCAAUCUUUAAGGAGAAUGACUCUACUCUUAGGAAGCCAGCAGGUUGGAGGAGGAAACACAUUCAAAUCCCGAGCACAAGGAGCUGGGAGAAGACCGGUUAUGGGAGCGGCAUUCCUGGAAGCUCUGAAGUCACAGCCCCACUGAUGAAAGGAGGAAAGAUGAAAGAAAGAAAAUUAAGGAAAAGAGGAAAACAAGCAAAAAACUCAGCAAAGAUGUCAUUGCAUAAUAGUCCAUUAUGCCUCCAAUUGAGCCGUCAUGAACUAUCAAAGAAAUAAUUGCGCAAUAAGCCCAUAAUGGCUUAAUCGUGUCAACAUCUUUGCAUUUACAUAUUUUUUUAAUC